rnacentral:tRNA from 1 species
AAAUUUAUAGUAAGAGGAAAAUCCGUCGACUUUAGAAAUCGUGAGGGUUCA